UACGUAGGUGGCAAGCGUUGUCCGGAUUUACUGGGCGUAAAGAGCGCGCAGGCGGUCGUUCAAGUCGCGUGUGAAAGCCCCCGGCUCAACUGGGGAGGGUCACGCGAUACUGAUCGACUCGAAGGCAGGAGAGGGAAGUGGAAUUCCCGGUGUAGUGGUGAAAUGCGUAGAGAUGUGGAGGAACACCAAUGGCGAAGGCAGCCUUCUGGGCCAACACUGACGCUCAUGCACGAAAGCGUGGGGAGCAAACAGG
rnacentral:rRNA from 1 species